CUCUGCUCUCCUUGUUUGGAUUAAUUCUGAUAUAAUAACUGUUGGUUUAUUUAUCGGUGGAGCAGCACAAUAUUUUCCACUGACUGUUUUCCUGCCCGUUAGGUUGUUUUAACCAGUUUUCUACCUUCGGCUGAUUCUACCAGCAGACACUGAAAGGACUCAGUUCGAGUGAAAGUAGCAGUUCCUCCUUAAGGUCAGAGAUUGCAGCAUCUGAGGGCCUCUUCAAAAGAAGACGUAGUUGAUGAAGGCGUUCUGGAGCAGGACCAGAAAGACCACGACCAAGCAGCCUUGAGAUCUUAGGCAGCGUCUCCCUCAGGUCCCUCUGUAUCUCCCCACACAUCCACCAACCACUGGAACACAUCUCCAAAGUUCUGCCGGGCCAGCUCAGCUUCCCCUCAGAAGAAGUGGCGCCACCUGCCAGAUGAAGGAGCCUUUUGAGAGGCAGCUGGCAUCGUGAUUGGACUAUACUUUGGUCUGUUCCAGUCCAGCUUCAGCUCCAGAGACGGCAGGCGGGACGAGUCAACGGAGGCCGGGUGGACGAAGGCAUGCAGCUGAGUACAAUCCAGAAAACAACAGAGGAGGAGUGCAGUGGCCCAGGGCCAGAACAAGCAGAGUAGCAUGGUAUGUCUCUCAGAAAACAUCAUAGUAUAGCCUUUGGUAUGAAAAAAACACCAUCAUAUACAUCGUAUAUUGUACAAAUAACAAGUCAAAGGAAAGAGACAUACAUUGUAGAAUUGUACUAAUUGUGGGCUAACUGAUUUAAUGAUUAUCAGUAUUUUAUUUUUUACUGAUUUACGGUAAUAAAUCAAUUUAAAAA